rnacentral:rRNA from 1 species
UACGUAGGGUGCAAGCGUUGUCCGGAAUUAUUGGGCGUAAAGAGCUCGUAGGCGGUCUGUCGCGUCGGCUGUGAAAACCCGGAGCUCAACUCCGGGCCUGCAGUCGAUACGGGCAAACUGGAGUACUGCAGGGGAGACUGGAAUUCCUGGUGUAGCGGUGAAAUGCGUAGAGAUCCGGAGGAACCCCAGAGGCGAAGGCGGCGUCCUGGCUCACAACUGACGCUCAUACACGACAGCAUGGGGAGCGAACGGG